UCAGGAUGAACGCUAGCGGCAGGCCUAAUACAUGCAAGCUGAACGGUAAAUGUUGUAGCAAUACGAUAUGAGAGUAGCGUAAGGGUGCGUAACACGUAUGCAAUCUACCCGCAACAGGAGGAUAGCUCCCCGAAAGGGGAAUUAAUACUCCAUAAUAUCACGAGAGGGCAUCUGAUUGUGAUUAAACUCCAAGGGGUUGCGGAUGAGCAUGCGUCUGAUUAGUUAGUUGGUGAGGUAACGGCUCACCAAGACGAUGAUCAGUAGGGGAACUGAGAGGUUGAUCCCCCACACUGGCACUGAGAUACGGGCCAGACUCCUACGGGAGGCAGCAGUAGGGAAUAUUGGUCAAUGGGUGAAAGCCUGAACCAGCCAUGCCGCGUGCAGGAAGAAAGCCUUCUGGGUUGUAAACUGCUUUUAUCUGGGGAUAAAAUACCCGUGCGCGGGGAAUUGAAGGUACCAGAUGAAUAAGCCACGGCUAACUACGUGCCAGCAGCCGCGGUAAUACGUAGGUGGCAAGCGUUGUCCGGAUUUAUUGGGUUUAAAGGGUGCGUAGGCGGCUUUGUAAGUCAGUGGUGAAAUACGGCAGCUCAACUGUCGAGGUGCCAUUGAUACUGCAGAGCUAGAGUACUGAUGAGGUAGGCGGAAUGGACGGUGUAGCGGUGAAAUGCUUAGAUAUCGUCCAGAACACCGAUAGCGAAGGCAGCUUACUAAAGAGUAACUGACGCUGAGGCACGAAAGUGUGGGGAUCAAACAGGAUUAGAUACCCUGGUAGUCCACACUGUAAACGUUGAUCACUAGAU
rnacentral:rRNA from 1 species